CUCUACGGCCAUGCCACCCUGAACAUGCCGGAUCCCGUCUGAUCUUGGAAGCUAAGCAGGGUCGGGCCUGGUUAGUACUUGGAUGGGAAACUACCUAAGAAGACCAGGUGCUGUAGGCG
rfam:Pteropus alecto contig39966, whole genome shotgun sequence.